rnacentral:rRNA from 1 species
UACAGAGGGUGCAAGCGUUGUUCGGAAUUACUGGGCGUAAAGGGUUCGUAGGUGGCCGACUAAGUCAAACGUGAAAUCCCUCAGCUUAACUGGGGAACUGCGUCUGAUACUGGUCGGCUCGAGUGCAGGAGAGGAACGCGGAAUUCCAGGUGUAGCGGUGAAAUGCGUAGAUAUCAUUUGGAACGCCAAUGGUGAAAACAGCUCGCUGGGGGUGCACUGACACUGAGACACGAAAGCCAGGGGAGCGAACGGG